AUUGAACGCUGGCGGAAUGCUUUACACAUGCAAGUCGAGCGGCAGCGCGGGGGCAACCCUGGCGGCGAGCGGCGAACGGGUGAGUAACACAUCGGAACGUACCCAGUAGUGGGGGAUAACUAACCGAAAGGUUAGCUAAUACCGCAUACGCCCUGAGGGGGAAAGAGGGGGAUCGCAAGACCUCACGUUAUUGGAGCGGCCGAUGUCGGAUUAGCUAGUUGGUGAGGUAAAGGCUCACCAAGGCGACGAUCCGUAGCGGGUCGGAGAGGACGGCCCGCCACACUGGAACUGAGACACGGUCCAGACUCCUACGGGAGGCAGCAGUGGGGAAGAUUGGACAAUGGGCGAAAGCCUGAUCCAGCCAUGCCGCGUGUGUGAAGAAGGUCUUCGGAUUGUAAAGCACUUUAAGUUGGGAGGAAGGGUUGUAGAUUAAUACUCUGCAAUUUUGACGUUACCGACAGAAUAAGCACCGGCUAACUCUGUGCCAGCCGCCGCAGUAACAC
rnacentral:rRNA from 1 species